rnacentral:rRNA from 1 species
GACGAACGCUGGCGGCGUGCUUAACACAUGCAAGUCGAACGGUGAAAGCGGAGCUUGCUCCGCUGGAUCAGUGGCGAACGGGUGAGUAACACGUGGGCAACCUGCCCCUCACUUCGGGAUAACUCCGGGAAACCGGGGCUAAUACCGGAUAUGACCUCCUUGGGCAUCCUUGGAGGUGGAAAGUUUUUCGGUGAGGGAUGGGCCCGCGGCCUAUCAGCUUGUUGGUGAGGUAGUGGCUCACCAAGGCGACGACGGGUAGCCGGCCUGAGAGGGCGACCGGCCACACUGGGACUGAGACACGGCCCAGACACCUACGGGAGGCAGCAGUGGGGAAUAUUGCGCAAUGGGCGAAAGCCUGACGCAGCAACGCCGCGUGCGGGAUGACGGCCUUCGGGUUGUAAACCUCUUUUAGCAGGGAAGAAGCGAAAGUGACGGUACCUGCAGAAAAAGCACCGGCUAACUACGUGCCAGCCGCCGCCGUAA